CCAGCACCCCAAUCCCCGCCCACUGCAGUCACGCCCACGGAGAAGCCAGGAGCGAGUGUUCCUGCUUCCACGGCUGACCCCCCGGUGACCUCUCAUUCGGUGUGACUGAGCUGGACAAUUCAGGAUUGUGCGAUUUGGGGAGAGAGGUCACGGGGGGGGGGGGGGGGGGGAGGAUUUUAAGACACACUCUGCCCCGAAGUUUUCUGUGCUGUCUUUCACACGCCCACGCUGAACAAACGACCAGGUGGGACACACGCACACACACACGAAGACAACUGCGCUGAUGCCAAAAAGACUCUGCAUUUAAUUCCUUUUCUUAAAGAAACUAAACUAAAACCAAUGAAGAAUAACCAGCAGGUGUUUAUGGUUUAAUUUAAUACUGAAGACACAGGGGUGUGUACAUAGCAGAAACCUGGACCCCAGGGACGCGAAGAGCGAGAGAUGUGUGCUGGUUAACAUUUGGUGGCUUGUAAUUUUUUUGUUUAUUAUACUGUAAGGUUGUUUUGUUUGUCUGAAUGCACUGUCUGGGCCUUGUGUGCAAUAAUGUCAUUAAAAUCUAGUUUGGAAAA